rnacentral:misc_RNA from 1 species
CAACUCCCAAACCCCUGUGAACAUACCACUUGUUGCCUCGGCGGAUCAGCCCGCUCCCGGUAAAACGGGACGGCCCGCCAGAGGACCCCUAAACUCUGUUUCUAUAUGUAACUUCUGAGUAAAACCAUAAAUAAAUCAAAACUUUCAACAACGGAUCUCUUGGUUCUGGCAUCGAUGAAGAACGCAGCAAAAUGCGAUAAGUAAUGUGAAUUGCAGAAUUCAGUGAAUCAUCGAAUCUUUGAACGCACAUUGCGCCCGCCAGUAUUCUGGCGGGCAUGCCUGUUCGAGCGUCAUUUCAACCCUCAAGCACAGCUUGGUGUUGGGACUCGCGUUAAUUCGCGUUCCCCAAAUUGAUUGGCGGUCACGUCGAGCUUCCAUAGCGUAGUAGUAAAACCCUCGUUACUGGUAAUCGUCGCGGCCACGCCGUUAAACCCCAACUUCUGAAUGUUGACCUCGGAUCAGGUAGGAAUACCCGCUGAACUUAAGCAUAUCAAUA